rnacentral:lncRNA from 1 species
CUGUGUUAAUUUCUUUAUUUUUAUAACAUUUAUAAUGCCAAAAAGAAUGUUAAAAACUAUGCACUGGGCACGGUAGCUCAUACCUGUAACCCUAGCACUUUGGGUGGCCAAGGCCAGUGGAUCACCUGAGGUCAGAAUUUCGAGAAGAGCCUGGCCAACAUGGCAGAACUCUUAUCUCUACUAAAAAAAAAAUUACAAAAAUUAUCUGGGCAUGGUGACAUGCACCUGUAAUCCCAGCUACUUGGGAGCCUGAGGCUGGAGAAUCUCUUGAAUCUGGGAGGCAGAGGUUGCAGUGAGCCAAGAUCGCACCACUGCACUCCAGCCUGGAUGACAGAGUGAGACUCCGUCUCAAAACAAGAACAACAACAACAAAGCUACACUGGUCGGAAAACGCCAUAUAAAUGGACUCAUUCUUAGACCAUGCUCUGGUCAAACAUAACUCCAGCACGCUGGGGUGGCAGUUGAUGCUGUGGGAAGGAAUCAGGGCUAUCUGCUUCUAUUCUUGGCAUAGUAGUUCAAGGUGCAGAACUCAAACAGCACACCUUAUGGACAAUGAAUGAAUCCAUGGUGUCACAUGAAAAAGGAAGAAAUGAGGUUGAAUCAACGAAAUCACUGAUUUGCCCAAGAAAAGGAAAAAUUUUCUUUGUGGUUUAAUUGUUUAUUUGUGGAUAGCUCACUCAAGAUCAGAGCCAGUGUCCCAAGUAGACAGAAUGACCCAUCUGGGAAGUCUAUGUUCCUAACUUGAGAGCAAAAGCGUUGGAGAACAGAUUUCAAAACUAUGCCAUGGGCUGUUCGACUGUGAAAGGAGACAAAAAUGAGACAAUAACCUAAGAAAUAAAGAGAUGUUGCUGGCAGUGCCUUCCCUGCCUACAUCGUGAGUCCUCUUGCUCUGCCAGUCCCAAAUUGGUGUUCCCACAGGAUUCUGUUUUCCUUUCCCUCAUCUACAUUCAUCUACAUCCAAGGUCUUAAGGACUAUUCACCUAUCGAUUCCUGUCUUCAAUUAAGAUUGUUUUCCUGUGCUGAAACUUUUAUCUCCACUUGCCAGACUCCUAUCACACCAAAAAAGAGGCUUCACUUGGAGUGCUGCUGCUGGAUGGGGCCUGAUUUGUUUACCCAGAAAGAAGUGAGUUUCCUGGGAAGAGGAUUGUAUUUGUGAAAGCCUGUGCAGCAUUUCAAGGACAUUCAUGUUUUCAUCAUUCAUGUAUCAGAAAACUGAAGCCCCUGCUCAAAAACCUUACUACUCAAGCCCAUGACUGUGUGCGCACUUAUACAAUCAUUUAGCUUUCCUCAAUGAAGACAAAAUAAUAACAAUUAAAAUAGCAGCUAAUAUCUGUAGGGUACUUACUAGUGCCAGUAGUGCCUAAACACUAGUUUAAUCUUCACAAGUCCCCAAACAGAGAUAUAUAUUGUUAUUGACUCCAUUUAAUAGAUUUGGAAACUGAGUAUAGUUCAGUCUUUGGCAGAGGGCAAAUUCAUAUAGCUUAUAGAUUAAUAAGUGGCAGAGAUCAUGAUGCAACUGCAGGCUCACUGGCUUUGGAGACUCCCAUCCACCUGCAAAAACUAUCACAAAAGCAAAGACAUGGAAUAAAUAAUUAGUUGAUGCAACCUCUUGUUUCUUGGGAAACUGAAACUUCAAACUCACAGCAAAUAUGAAACUAGCUCCAAAUCUCCUGAGCCCCAGUCCUGUGCACAUGAACGUACACCAUGAAGCAUUUAAAAAAAAAAAAGAAAAAAAAACUCAUCGAGCUCAAUGUUCUAAGUAAUACUCUCUGCAUCCCCAUUCUUUGCUAACUGUUUUUUUUGGAUCCACAGCUAGGGCAUAAAACUCAUUGAUCUCAGGAUUAUGAUUAGAAUUUGUUUAAAAGAUAUGCAAGAGGACAGUUCAAAACAUACUACUGUGUUUUCUCUUUUUUUUUCCAAUUGUUCUAUAUUAUGUUUUUAAUUGUACUUUAGGUUCUGGGGUACAUGUGCAGAUCAUGCAAGAUUGUUGCAUAGGUACACACAUGGCAAUGUAGUUUUACUGCCUCCAUCCGCCUGUCACCUACAUCUGGCAUUUCUCCCCAUGUUAUCCCUCCCCAAACUCCCCACCCCCCACAGUCGCUCCCUUGGCACCACCCCAACAGACCCCAGUGUGUAGUGCUCCCCUCCCUGUGUCCAUGUGUUCUCAUCGUUCAACACCCACCUAUGAGUGAGAACAUGUGGUGUUUGAUUUUCUGUUCUGUGUCAGUUUGCUGAGAAUGAUGGUUUCCAGAUUAAUCCAUGUUCCUACAAAGGACACGAACUCAUCAUUUUUUAUGGCUGCAUAAUAUUCCAUGGUGUAUAUGUGCCACAUUUUUCUUGUCCAGUCUGUCAUUGAUGGCCAUUUGG